GCGGGCAUGGUCUAGCGGUUAUGACGUCUGCCUUACACGCAGAAGAUCCCGAGUUCGAUCCUCGGUGCCCGUAU
rnacentral:tRNA from 1 species